rnacentral:rRNA from 1 species
AACGUAGGAGACAAACGUUAUCCGGAGUUACUGGGCGUAAAGGGCGUGUAGGUGGUAGAGUAAGUCUGGCGUGAAAUUUUUCGGCUUAACCGGGAAAGGUCGUCGGAUACUGCUUAACUAGAGGACGGUAGAGGCGUGUGGAAUUCCGGGUGUAGUGGUGAAAUGCGUAGAGAUCCGGAGGAACACCAGUGGCGAAGGCGACACGCUGGGCCGUACCUGACGCUGAGGCGCGAAGGCGUGGGGAGCGAACGGG